GACAGAGGGGGCAAGCGUUGUUCGGAAUUACUGGGCGUAAAGGGCUCGUAGGCGGCCAACUAAGUCAGACGUGAAAUCCCCAGGCUCAACCUGGGAACUGCGUCUGAUACUGGUUGGCUUGAAUCCGGGAGAGGGAUGCAGAAUUCCAGGUGUAGCGGUGAGAUGCGUAGAUAUCUGGAGGAAUACCGGUGGCGAAGGCGGCAUCCUGGACCGGCAUUGACGCUGAGGAGCGAAAGCCAGGGGAGCAAACGGG
rnacentral:rRNA from 1 species